GAUGAACGCUGGCGGCGUGCCUAAUACAUGCAAGUCGAGCGAACAGACGAGGAGCUUGCUCCUCUGACGUUAGCGGCGGACGGGUGAGUAACACGUGGAUAACCUACCUAUAAGACUGGGAUAACUUCGGGAAACCGGAGCUAAUACCGGAUAAUAUAUUGAACCGCAUGGUUCAAUAGUGAAAGACGGUUUUGCUGUCACUUAUAGAUGGAUCCGCGCCGCAUUAGCUAGUUGGUAAGGUAACGGCUUACCAAGGCGACGAUGCAUAGCCGACCUGAGAGGGUGAUCGGCCACACUGGAACUGAGACACGGUCCAGACUCCUACGGGAGGCAGCAGUAGGGAAUCUUCCGCAAUGGGCGAAAGCUUGACGGAGCAACGCCGCGUGAGUGAUGAAGGUCUUCGGAUCGUAAAACUCUGUUAUUAGGGAAGAACAAAUGUGUAAGUAACUAUGCACGUCUUGACGGUACCUAAUCAGAAAGCCACGGCUAACUACGUG
rnacentral:rRNA from 1 species